rnacentral:lncRNA from 1 species
GGAUUGCAAGAGGUAUUUUCAGCAAGUCCUAGAAGAAAUUUGAGAUGGGGAUCGAUGAAUUGUUAAUGGUCGCAUUGAUGCCAGUUCUGAAAACACUAUUGAUUGCUGUGGUGGGCUUAUUCCUUGCUGUGGAUCAUAUUAGCAUCUUGUCUGCAACUGCACGUCACCAUUUGAAUAAUGUAAGCUGGAUGAUCUCUUGUUAAAGUUGAGUUAUCUUUGAUUUUCUUGAGGUGUCUGAGACGAAAUUAUUCCAAUCAUAUAUCAAUCAGGAAUUCUGAACAGAUAAAGUGAGAACUAGGAAGGAAGAAUUGCAAUUGGCAGGGAAUAAAUAGAGAGCAAAGCAAUUAACAUGGCUUUGGUUGGACAGUUGAAUGAAAUGACUUGUAUAAAUGCCAAGAUAGUAGGAUAUAAAAACUUGCUAUAUUCGAUAUCUUUGUACUGCUGAGCAAUCACGGGGAGAAGAGCUUCAUUGGAUAUUUUCAGUCGUCAAGGUAUACAGAGUAGCACCAGUUUUAAGGCUAAUCCCUUGACUACUUCAAACAAUAACUAAAAUCUGCAAUCCAAUAAGCACUAAUAAGAACAUUUAGAAAAAAACCAAAAAAAAAAAGUAAUUAAACAUUUCCAAAACCAAGCAUAAGUGACUAAUGAAUUCCUGUGUUUUGAGAUGGAGCAGCUUGUGUACUACGUCUUCUUCCCAUCACUUUUGGCCAGCAGCUUGGUUGAUUCCAUUUCAGCGACCAACAUAAUUUCUUUGUAGGUUACCUGUUCAUCCUUGACUAGUUUCCCUUGAAUUCCAUCUCUUCCUACAUUCUACUGUUUCUUUAUUUAAGCUUUAUGACUCAUUCACAGGUGGUUCACACCAGUGAGUAUUCUCCUCACUUUUAUUAUUGGUUCAGCCCUUGGAUGGAUACUUGUCAGAAUCACCAAAACUCCUCAACAGUUGCAUGGCCUUGUCAUUGGAUCUUGUGCUGCGGGUACAUGAACUAUUUGAUGAAACUUAAAAUGGCUACUAUCCUUGAUUGAGUUGUUUUUCAUCUCAUCAAGCCUUAGAGAUAAAGAUUUAAUUCACUCUGGACUCUCGUAACUCUUAGAGACAUUUUGUAGGUAGACUCUAAACUGAAAUUCUAUAUAUAUAUUUCAGCCAGACGGCAAAACAUGGAAGAGGUUUGAUAGUUAAUGAUUACAUGCUCGUAUCACUUAAAAGUCUCUAAAAGCAGAAUUAUGCAGUCACACAGCAGUUGCUACUGCUAUAUCUGGAUAAUGAUCACUGUGAAAUAAUAGGAGGAAAACUUCAUGACAAGAUCAACUUGGAUCCUGAAAUUUAAAGGGAUGAAGAAGAAGAUGUACAAAAAUCUAAAGUCUUCACGAAUGAUUUAGAUGAUCUUGGUUCAACUGGUUUUCUACAAUCAAAUAUGAGAGCCUUAACUAAAAUGUACAAUUUUCACUGCAAGGCACUUCUUUCUUUCUGGACUUUUGUCAUAUCUGGCAAUGCUGAUAGGCGUGUUUCUGUUAUAGCUGUCACAAGAUAUCCAAUGUAACGACGACUUAUGGAAACAAUGUUAUGACACCCUGAAUUUCAAGCAGAGUUCCUUGACAGAUUAAUUUAUACAGGAAAUAUGGGGAAUUUACCAGUUAUUAUCAUCCCAGCAAUCUGCGCAGAGAAGAAUAACCCAUUUGGAGAUUCAUUUUCCUGCUCUAGGAAUGGAAUGGCCUAUGUAUCACUCUCUAUGUCGGUAAUAUGGAACUUUCAUACCCAACUUCUAAAUUGCCUAUAAGUUUGUGCCACACAUUUAGAUUCUUGAACUUCAUGUAUUGUUUCACUUGUGCUGUUAAUGUUUGUUAUUAUUUAAAAAAGACAUCAUAUCUGAGCGGGUCAUAUGCCUAGAAGUUUUUUUUUUUUUGGCAGUGACCAGGAAGACCUUUCAGACAACUCAAUGUUGCUUAAGGAGGAACUGUGCUUAAGUUGAAAAGUUUUCAGAAUAUAUGUGGCCUCAGCUUUAUCGGCAUCCAGUUUUCAUACUUUUUUGUUCUUUCAGAUAGGGGCUGUUUUCGUUUGGUCUUAUGUAUACAACAUUAUACGUAUAUGUGGAACAGAGAGUGAUGGUAACGUCCAAAUAAGUUCCACAAUUAGCAAAAACCAGUCUGGUGAAAUAAAUUCCUCAGACAGCUCCAGAGAAGAGUUGCUGUUAAAAGGUUGCCCUAGCUCCCAGGAUUAUCACGUUCAACCUACUUUUGUUCUCAAAAGAUCUGAGGACAGAGUUAAGGUAAUUCCUUUUCUCCCUUUCUGCCUACUUCGAAACAUGAGCAGUUUGAUCAUUUCCUUUUCAAGUGCCUUAGUUUGGCCAUGAAGCAGAAUAAGUGAUUAAGACAACCAUCACAAUGUCACUUGGUGUAUAAGAUAUAACUUGGCUCUGAUCAGAGAGCUGUUCUUUUUCGCAAUUCCUUGCUCAAAUAAAUCUGGCAACCAAACAAAUAUCUUCAGUGAUUAAUCGCUAUGCUAGAUUUUAAAAGUCUGGACAAAUACUACCUCAUUGCUGUGUCUGCAUAGAUAUAAAACUAUGUAAUUUAUGCCGAUGGUGGAGAAUGGCUCAUACAUUAUUUCCUAAUACCUGUUAAUGCCACUUGCUAAUCUACUUAAUCAGCUAACAUUGUCGUAUUGCAGAAAUAAAGAUUGUUUGACCAACAAUAUCAGAGUUAUAUCCUAGCAGUAGAACACAGUUUUCAACCUUGUGAUAAAAUUGUUUCUGUUCUUUCCAUCUUUCCGUUGAGCUGUUGAGAUUUAAUAGCAAAGAUUUACUGGAUAACUGCAAGGUCAUUUUGGUUCUUAUCUUUAUCAAAUUUUUUUAGCAAACGUACCACUUUCCAAAGACACCAGAAAAACAAAAACAAAAAAAGGAAUCAAAUUUCUUGCCGCCCAAAAGUCAGAGGAACAGUUUCAUUGAUUAGUCUUCAUUUGAUGUUGCAUCAUUACAUUAUUCAUGUGGCAUCCGUUGGGUUCUUAAGCUGCCGAUAACCAGAUGCGAAAAACCCUUCAAAACUAUUUGCAGGUGCCAUUCAAGCAGCAUUUGAAAAGUUUGCUUGGAAAAAUUGACCUAAGGAUGUUGCUGACACCUCCUACUGUUGCAACGGUAGGCUUCUGAUGCUUGUUUUUCUCAUUUUAAUCACUAGGUUUCUAGUGCUCACAAAAUAACAGAGCCUCCUUUUUAUCCUGGGAACUCAAUAUGACUGGUAGAUAAUUUGACUAUAUACAUGAUAUUCAUGCAUUUUAGCUAAGAACUGAGGUUCCUUUAUGGCAACUCAAAGGACAAACAUGAGGAUGGAACUAUAGCAUUAUCACAUUUCAGAUCAUGAGCAGUUUUCUAAGCAUUUUGCAACUAAUUCGUUGAGUUUUCGAAGUAAAACUAACUGCCUGCUCCUGAUUAGAAGAAUAAAAUUCACAAUGGAAUGUAUAUUGGAUCCUUUUUUGGGCGUUACUGUAAUUCAAUGAGUACAUUAUUGUUUUAAUAUUUGUCCUCGUCCAUCCGAAUUCAACUUCGUUUGAAAGUAAAGCCAAAUAAACAGAUGGAGGAAAGUUAUAAUGUAACUUUUGAUUUGAUGGAACCUUGUGACCUCUCAAAUACUGGCCUCUGCUUAGUACUUUUCAUAGUUGUCCUUUCCUUGGUUAGUUAUGCAUCUCAUGAAUAAUUUGCUUGUCCUCUAUGUCACAGGUUGUUGGGCUUUUGAUUGGAGUCUCUCCAUUGCGGGAAGUAAUUGUUGGUGGUACUGCUCCUCUGCGUGUGGUUGAGAGUUCUGUUCUUUUGCUGGGGUAGCAUUUCUGCUCUGACCUUAAUUCCAUUCUCAUUGUAUUAGUGUAGUCAACUAGUACUAAAUAAUCUUUGUGACAAAGCUAUUUGUUCUUUGUUUGCUCAACGAUUCUUAAGCUUGAAAUUGUGAAACAUUUAUUAUCGCUUGCCCUUGCCAAGCUACACUAUUUAGGAGCUACAUAUAAUGAGAACAACAUAUUUCAAUCUGAUAAUACAGUACUGUAAAAUUUUAAGAUCAUGAUGAUGUCAAUUAAGCUGUUGUGUAUCCAAUAUGUACAGUACCAUUAGCAUCCCAAAGAAAUUGAAUGACAGAUCGUAGCAAAAUCCAUCUUGUUGCCUGCUUUGUAACCUGAUAAAUGCAGCAUAUUGGAGUCUUGUUGGUUAUUGUAGAGAGACCUAUAUUCUGGCAUUAGUCUUGUCUUAAUCAGCAUGGAAAUUUCCCUUCUGUUUUGCUGUUGAACUGAAACUUAUUGCUCAAUGGACUAGGAUCUGGAGAGCUUGCAUCGUUAAGGCGCUUGUUUUUAGGAAGAUGUUGAGCUUCGUCAAAUUUUCUGUGUCAUCACCUUAUGAGCGUAUUUUGCCUGCCACUUAUGCAGUAAUUUCUAAUUGGUCGAAAAGAUGAUAGUCUGAUUUUUGGCAGGGAAGCGGCAAUUCCAUCGAUGACGUUGAUAAUGGGUGCAAAUCUUCUUAGAGGUGGAGUUUAUACUCAUUACUAAUUGGUUGUCUACUUUAUGGUCGCCCACUAAUUAGUUUGCUUUCUCUGUAUUGGCACUUGGUACAUUUGUCCAGGUUUGAAAAGGUCAGGAGUAAACCUAUGGAUGAUUCUUGGCAUCAUUUUAAUCCGGUUCGCUGCCUUGCCUGUUUUAGGCGUUGUUAUCAUCAAAGCUGCAAGAGAUUUUGGCAUGGUGGGAUCAGAUCCUUUAUAUCAUUUUGUUCUUCUGCUUCAGUAUUCUGUUCCACCUGCAAUGGCCAUUGGUAUGGUUUAUCGCUUACUUUUCAACUUUCUCCCUCUUAAGUUGCUUGAUCUCUUCCACUUCAUGUCAGCUUGUGGAUUUAAUUGUUAAACCCAAUGAGUGGCCUUAAAUCAAUCUAACAAAGCCUGAUUGAAGUGGCUUGGAAUAAUUCCAUCAUGCUUAAAUUGCAUCUGCUGUGUCUGCUCUGUGGAGCCUGAUUUCAUCUUUUCUGAUACAUUAGUUCCUUCUUGAUUAGCAUGUGCUAGCAUUUUGAAAGCUACUUUUUUGGAGUUUUAACAUGCGGUCCAGAACUAUGAAAAAAUGUUCACGGAAGUAGUCACUGUGCACCAUGGAGUGGUCCAUGAUUCUUUCCCAAUCUACCACUGAGAAAAGCCCCCCGCUGUGUCCGUAGAAUAUCGAACAGUCUACGCAUAUUUUUCCAGCUCUGGACCAGUGACAUUACUGCAUGGCCUUUCCAUCAAAAUAUCUAGUCUUGCCUCAUAAUCAUGGGCCACCUCGUGCAAUUAUUUUACCAUAUUCCUUUUUUUUUUUCUUGAUUUACUUGUUAUUGCCAGACCUAAAUCACUUAUCAGUUCUAAACUUUCAAAUAAUCACACAAGGCAAUUUCAGCAGCUAACUUGUGCAACAGUAAAUUAGAGAAUCCCUUUAGGAAAUCCCAUCAGGAUUGUUAGGGUCGUAAAGGGUAUAACUCCAACAUGUUCAAAAAUCCAUAAAAGAGUCUCUACGAAUAAGUAUAAAUAUAAUAGAUUUCAUUAAAUCUGCACUAAUGAUAAAAAAAAAAAAAAAAAGUACAUGAAACAUACACAAAAAUACUCAUGGCAGAAAUUUUCUGUCUGUUUCGUUCACAUGUUGCAGGUACAAUAACGCAGUUGUUCGAAGUUGGUGAGACUGAAUGUUCCGUCCUGAUGUUUUGGAAUUAUGCUGUGGCUGCAAUUGCAAUGACCCUCUGGGCAACUUAUUACAUGUGGCUGUUGCUGUGAUGUUAAAGCUCCUGAUUAGUUGGAACGUAAUAAUGCGUUGUUGUGAUGUCAAAGCUCCUGUUUAGUUGGAACGUAGUAAUGGCAAUCCUGGCCGCUGAUGAAGACUACCAUUUCAACCCCUGAAAGCUGUCAACAAUCGACAUAUUCCUCUUCACUUUGUGACAGUAAUCUAAUAGUAUAGUUU